UCGGCUCAUCACAUCCUGGGGCUGAAGUAGGUCCCAAGGGUAUGGCUGUUCGCCAUUUAAAGUGGUACGCGAGCUGGGUUUAGAACGUCGUGAGACAGUUCGGUCCCUAUCUGCCGUGGGCGCUGGAGAACUGAGGGGGGCUGCUCCUAGUACGAGAGGACCGGAGUGGACGCAUCACUGGUGUUCGGGUUGUCAUGCCAAUGGCACUGCCCGGUAGCUAAAUGCGGAAGAGAUAAGUGCUGAAAGCAUCUAAGCACGAAACUUGCCCCGAGAUGAGUUCUCCCUGAGACUUAGAGUCUCCUGAAGGAACGUUGAAGACGACGACGUUGAUAGGCCGGGUGUGUAAGCGCAGCGAUGCGUUGAGCUAACCGGUACUAAUGAACCGUGAGGCUUAACCUUACAACGCCGAAGCUGUU
rnacentral:rRNA from 1 species